GCGGCGCCAGCAUCACGAUGCCUCCAAGCUCCACCAUCCUCCUGCUCGUCUUCCUCCCAUAUCCAGCCGAGCUCGUGACAUUCCAGCCGUCUCGUCCAAGAAUAGUCAAAGACAAGGAUCGGGUGGAACUCGACUGUCGUCAUGACGACUCCUCCAUGAGCGUGAUGCUCUGGUACCAGCAGACCUUCAACGGUCUCAUCAACUUAAUCGGGUUCAGCUACGUUGGUUCUGAUCCAAACUAUGAGAAAGGACUGGAGUCUCGGUUUAAGAUCACGAGGAAAGACGCGCGGACGGGAGGACUGAUCAUCGCCAGCGCGGAUGCGUCAGCCUCAGCUGUUUUCUUCUGCGCCGCCAGCACACAGUGA